rnacentral:rRNA from 1 species
AUACGUAGGUGGCAAGCGUUGUCCGGAAUUAUUGGGCGUAAAGCGCAUGUAGGCGGUUUGGUAAGUCGGUCGUGAAAAUGCGGUGCUUCACGCCGUAUGGCGAUUGAAACUGCUGAACUUGAGUGUAGGAGAGGAAAGGGGAACUCCCAGUGUAGCGGUGAAAUGCGUAGAUAUUGGGAAGAACACCGGUGGCGAAGGCGCCUUUCUGGACUGUGUCUGACGCUCAGAUGCGAAAGCCAGGGUAGCGAACGGGAUUAGAUACCCCGGUAGUCCUGGCCGUAAACGAUGGGUACUAGGUGUGGGAGGUAUCGACUCCUUCCGUGCCGGAGUUAACGCAAUAAGUACCCCGCCUGGGGAGUACGGCCGCAAGGCUUAAACUCAAAGGAAUUGACGGGG